rnacentral:tRNA from 1 species
GGCGUUGUGGCACAGUGGUCUAAUGCGCAAGGCUAGAAAUCUUGUUCCUUCGGCAGCGUCUGUUCGAAUCAGGCCAACGUCG